GAAUGUCGCUGAGACAAGCAUCGAUUUGUCUCUGAAUUAAACUAGGAUGAAGGGGAUAAAUCCCAGUAAUUCCAUGAGAAUUUUGACAUGUAAGCGCAGUUAAUACGCUCAUUCCGUACACCUGGUGAGCUGUCAUCACUUUCAAGUCUGCUUGAAUUCCCGCAGCACCGCUACAAUCUGAACCUGCAAUUGUAAGACAAGUUGGGUGAUUCGUUUUCGCAUUAUGGGAUUGAUUCGCUUCCAUAUUGUAGUGUUGAAAGAAAUCAAAACAGCAAGUCGUAACAAAAAAAAACACAAUUUUAAAGAAAACAAAAAUAUGUGCUCAGACAAUUGAACGAAGCACGAAAAAAGAAGGAUAAAAAAACAACAAGAAGCGCAGAAUUUCGCUUACCAAAUAAAAAAUCGUUUUAAAAACAAAUUAUGGUUUUCAAACCUACAGCAAGCUUGCUGUAAUUCAACAUUCCCUAAUGAAGGGUCAAAUCUACUAUUCCAAAGACUUUUAAAGAUAUGCCACAAUUAUUGUGUAUUUAGAGAAAGAGGGAGAGGACAAAAGAAAGAAUCAAAAGAAACUGCGACAUGUGGGCCGGAAUUUAAACGGCAUACAGAAGCAAGGUUACAUGCAAAUCGAUGGAAGCAAGUAUGCGAGAGAAGGUAAUAAUUUUUGCUUAAGCGGAUUUGAGUAUUCGCUUAAUUUUACGUUAAAAUAAAGGUAAGAUAAGCGACUAGUCCGACUAAGUAAAUGUUCAAGAAAUAUUAGAAGAAAUAAAUUGGAAAUGCCGUUGGCACAAUGGAUUUUGAUUCCAAAGUUUGUUUACAUGAAUUUACGAAGCAAAUUUAAAAAAAUAUGCCCCAACUCCGAUACCAUGAAAUGUGUUUAAUAACGAUAU